rnacentral:rRNA from 1 species
GAUGAACGCUGGCGGCGUGCCUAAUACAUGCAAGUCGAGCGAACAGACGAGGAGCUUGCUCCUCUGACGUUAGCGGCGGACGGGUGAGUAACACGUGGAUAACCUACCUAUAAGCCGGGGAUAACUUCGGGAAACCGGAGCUAAUACCGCAUAAUAUCUUUAACCACAUGGUUCAAUAGUGAAAGACGGUUUUGCAUCCCCUAAUAAAUGUAUCCCCUCCGCUUAAGUUAGUUGUUAAGGUAACGGCUUACCAAGGCAACGAUGCGUAGCCGACCUGAGAGGGUGAUCGGCCAAACUGGAACUGAGACACGGUCCAGACUCCUACGGGAGGCAGCAGUAGGGAAUCUUCGGCAAUGGGCGAAGUCCUGACGGAGCAAGGCCGCGUGAGUGAUGAAGUUCUUCGGAUCGUAAAACUCUGUUAUUAGGGAAGAACAAAUGUGUAAGUAACUAUGCACGUCUUGACGGUACCUAAUCAGAAAGCCACGGCUAACUACGUG